AUGUCUCAUAUCUCCUCAAGGGGAGCAGGCAGGCAAUACUCUUGCAUCUUCUUCCAGCAGGCGGCGGUGAGCUUGGGAGUCUCCUCAAGGGGAGCAGGCAUACUCCUCUUGCAUCUUCUUCUAGCUGGAGGUGAGCUUGGAGAUCUCCUCGAGCUGGUACCUCGCUUCAGCGGCAUAGUCGACCGGCGACUCACUCCUCACGGUGAUCCUCUGCCUCUUCACUCCCAUGUACUCGUUCUGCACGACACUGACGCGGAACAGGUGGGGAAUCCAGGUGGCUUCCUUCAGCUUGAGCUGGAACAUGUCAUCGCCCUCCUGCAAACAGAAUUUGACAGUCUUAGGCACAGAUCACAGAGCAAGCAACAUGUCUACAUUCUGAAUGGUGAGGCGUGA
rnacentral:rRNA from 1 species